rnacentral:rRNA from 1 species
UACGAAGGGGGCUAGCGUUGUUCGGAAUUACUGGGCGUAAAGCGCGCGCAGGCGGUCCUUCAAGUCAGAGGUGAAAGCCCAGAGCUCAACUCUGGAAUGGCCUUUGAGACUAGAGGACUUGGGUACGGGAGAGGUGAGUGGAAUUCCGAGUGUAGAGGUGAAAUUCGUAGAUAUUCGGAAGAACACCAGUGGCGAAGGCGGCGUCCUGGCCUGCGACUGACGCUGUGGCGCGAAAGCUAGGGGAGCGAACGGG